rnacentral:rRNA from 1 species
GACGAACGCUGGCGGCGUGCUUAACACAUGCAAGUCGAACGGUAAGGCCCUUCGGGGUACACGAGUGGCGAACGGGUGAGUAACACGUGGGUGAUCUGCCCUGCACUUCGGGAUAAGCCUGGGAAACUGGGUCUAAUACCGGAUAGGACCACUGCCUGCAUGGGUGGUGGUGGAAAGCUUUUGCGGUGCUUGGGAUGGGCCCGCGGCCUAUCAGCUUGUUGGUGGGGUGAUGGCCUACCAAGGCGACGACGGGUAGCCGGCCUGGGAGGGGGACCGGCCACCCUCGUACUGAGAUACGCACCAGACUCCGACGGGGGGCAGCAGUGGGGAAUCUUGCCCAAUGGGCGCGAGCCUGAUGAAGCGGCGCCCGGUUAGGAAUGCCGGCCUUCGCGGUGUGAAACUCUUCCAGCGCCGACGAAGCGCAAGUGACGGUAGGUGCAGAAGAAGGACCGGCUAACUACGUGCCAGCCGCCGCAGUAA